rnacentral:lncRNA from 1 species
CGGUGCCCGGAGUGUGGUACUUCUCCUAGUUGCAGUCAGGCUUCAUACGCUAUUGUCCUGCCCGUUAGAGCAGCCAGCGGGUACAGAAUGGAUUUUGGAAGAGGGAGUCACCACUGGACCUCCAAGGAAGCCACGUGCAGACAUCUACAACCUUCGAUCUCCUGACGAGUUUAUUGUUGGCCAAAACCAGGCUUUGAUUGAACCAGGAUGAAUGCGGGUGUUGGAAGUAGAAUAUAUAUAUACAUAUAAAAUUGGUUGGGAGCCACGUGUACCAGUGUGUGUUGAUCUUGGCUUGAUUCAGUCUGCCUUGUAACAGAUUUUGCCUGCCUGAGCUCCUCUAGUAGUGGCCACAAUUGCCAGAGAAGAUAGAGCAGGUCUCUCCCAGGACUUGCAGCUCCAGCCUGUGUCUGCAAGGGGUGUUGUAGCGACUGAUUUCUCCAGCCCAUGGCAAGAGGCCUUCAUCUUGUGCCUGGAAAGAGGGAAGUACAAGUCCGUCUGGCAGAGAUGG